CCAGGAGGGGUGGGCAACCACUGGCCCGUGGAUCCCCCGAGGUUUUCUUCUCCCUCAACCUUCAAUUCGGAGUUUUUGUUCCUUUCCCCGGUGGCCAUUCCACAGGGAAAGAAAAGGUGAACGAGGAGUGGAAAACAACAGCCCUCCUUCUAAACUUUCUUCUGUGCACAACUACGGGCUAGACAAGAGAGUGGUCAAGGGACAGGCAGUGGUCAGCCGAGGCGCAAUCGUCGUCCAAAGGAGUAUUCUGAGAUUCAGAGCCAGAGAGAUGAGAGCAAUGAUCAGGGAG
rnacentral:lncRNA from 1 species